rnacentral:lncRNA from 1 species
UUUUCAGUUUUUAAAUAAGUUUAUAAUUUCCUGAUGGAUUUAGUUUGUGAAUAAAAAAGAAAAAAAUUGAACAAAGAAUGAUGGAGGUUUUAAGAAACUGGUGUCGACAUUAAAGCUUAUGCGAUCAGGACAUGACCAUGCGUGCAUGCGUGCGUGCGUGCGUGCGUGCGAGCCUGCGUGCAUGCGUGCCUGCGUAUGUGCCCAUGUCAAGGAGAGGAGCAAUACCUGGUGAGCCAUCUUGAUGGACCCUCUAUUCAUUCUUACAGUGGCUGAGAUCAGCAGCUUUUUUGGUAGAUGAACUUAAUUAACCAUUUUAAAUUACAGAUAGUGAGAAUUCAGCACGUGUGUAUUGAGAAAGACAAGAGACAUAGAUGUGGCACAGGCGAAACCUGGAGGCAGCUGGGUUUAUCCACAGAGCAUUAAGGACAUGCGACAAACUCUAGGAUUUUCAGUUUAAUGUAUAGCAAGUACAAAAGAAAGGAAUGUUCUCCUCUUAAGAAGCAGUGAGUCUCAAGAUUUCUGGGCAAUCGUGGGAGCUUAUGUAAACACAGACUUGUAGAUAUAGUACAGGCCAGUCUUCAGAGUUGGGUGGUAUUCAGCUUGCAUUAAACAGUAAGACUGAGUUCUGUUAGUGCGUUCUUAAUCAUACUGG